rnacentral:rRNA from 1 species
AGGGGUUUGAUCCUGGGGCUCAGGACGAACGUUGGCGGCGCGCAUAAUGCAUGCAAGUCGAACGAAGUCUCACCCUUCGGGGUGAUACUGAGUGGCAGACGGCUGAGUAACACGUGAAUGAUCUGCCUUUGGGUGGGGGACAACAGAGAGAAAUUUCUGCUAAUACCCCAUGUGGUCUGCGGUCUAAGUGCCGUAGACGAAAGGUGCCGGGUAACCGGUUUCCGCCCUUAGAUGAGUUCGCGGCCUAUCAGGUAGUUGGUGGGGUAAUGGCCUACCAAGCCGAAGACGGGUAACUGGUGUGAGAGCACGACCAGCCAGAGGGGGACUGAGACACGGCCCCCACUCCUACGGGAGGCAGCAGCAGGGAAUCUUCCACAAUGGACGAAAGUCUGAUGGAGCGACGCCGCGUGAGGGAUGAAGGCUUUAGGGUCGUAAACCUCUUUUCUCAGGGAAGAGCAAGGACGGUACCUGAGGAAUAAGUGACGGCUAACUACGUGCCAGCAGCCGCGGUAAUACGUAGGUCACAAACGUUGUCCGGAAUUAUUGGGCGUAAAGGGUCCGUAGGCGGUUCGGUAAGUCUCCUGUGAAAUCUUCAGGCUCAACUUGAAGAGGUCGGGGGAUACUGCUGAACUUGAGACAGACAGAGGCNAGUGGAAUUCCCGGUGUAGUGGUGAAAUGCGUAGAUAUCGGGAGGAACACC